rnacentral:rRNA from 1 species
UACGUAGGGGCAAGCGUUGUCCGGAUUUAUUGGGCGUAAAGAGCGUGUAGGCGGCCAAGCAGGUCCGUUGUGAAAACUGGAGGCUUAACCUCCAGACGUCGACGGAAACCGCGUGGCUAGAGUCCGGAAGAGGAGAGUGGAACUCCGUGGUGGAGCGGUGAAAUGACGUAGAUAGUCAGGAGGAACACCGGUGGCGAAGGCGGGUCUCUGGGCA